AUUCUGCUCUCAUAAUUUGAUGUGUCUUUCAAAGUCCAUGUUUGAAAGGAAAUCAUUACCGACCUCUCACAAUGCUGUCAGCCCAGCAAGUAAAAUUUCCGUUUCCUGUCAGUUACCUAAAAUGUGUAAGAUUCGGUGAUUUACCGAAGUGUACUGUUUUUGUAUUAGAGAUUUAGUGAUCAGCCGAUCUACUUAAAAUAUGUUGAAUUUUCAGAAAUGUGUGAUGUCAUCAUUAAACUGAAACACCAAAAACAUUCCAUCCAUUUAUGAUUUAUGGCAAAAAAACCACCCCUUAAGUAAAUGUAAAAGUGUAGGAAUGUGCACAAGAAUGCAGUGUAUAUGAAGUAAAAAGAAGUUGAUUCAUUCAAAAUAUUUUAGUGUCAGAAUGAAUAGAGCCAUCAGUUCUGCAUAUGUAACAUCAGCUAUGUUACAAAGAAUAGUAUAAUUUUUGCCAAACUAGCAUUUAAAAAUGAAAGAUGGAACAAAACAGGGAAACACAUAAUCAUGAAAUCACUUGUAAUGCACAGGAAGCCCAUGAAGACUUGAUAUUUAUUUCUAGAACAAAUAAUUUUUUUUAAAAAAUUGGGUAAUGUGACACUGAACAGACAAAAAUAAAUUUAGCUCCUUUUUACCCAAUGUUGUAACAUGUCUCAUUAUAUUCUUCAGAUAAUGUUCAGUAGUCACUUAACCAAAGGAAUAAAAGGUCCUGUAAUAAACCUGAAUAUGUUGUGCUCAGUGGGUAAAGAAAGUGGGGACAUAGAUAGGACUGAACACAGCAAUUGUCACUUAUAAAUUAAAAAAGUGUUUUAUAAUAUAUGGGUGAGAUGUUGUGACUGAAAUAAAGACCAGAAAUUUUGACAUGGUAUAAGAAAAGAAUUAUUAGUCUUUUGAAACAUACUAGUCAGAUUUGAAUUAGCAAGGGAGAAAUAUCAAUAUAUAUUCAUUAAAAUUUUCACACUGAAAAAUAUUCAUUUCAAUAAGAAAUUGAGGUGUAUUAAAUCUAUAAUUUGCUAUCAGCAUGUAGGAAUAGUAUAAAAUAAUGUUCAUAAAAUGAAGAGUUUCUGGCCUCAUAAAAGAAAUGUUACUAGAAAAAGCAACAGAUGUCAGGUGUUUUUCAGUGGAGGUUUAGUGUUGAAAAUAUAUUUUUGCUUUUUUAUUGGAGUUUUGCUUGUUCUCUGAGUCUUGCUAAUACAGGCACCAGGACAAUUCCACAAAAUGUAAGUUAUGUCACCCACCUGAAAUCACAUUGAGUAAAUACUAAGAGAAAUAUUUAGAUAUGUAAAUGUGGGGAUACCCUUUAAAAUUCUCUACUCAUACUUCAAUGUAAGCUAGC
rnacentral:lncRNA from 1 species